UUUAUGGAGAGUUUGAUCCUGGCUCAGGAUGAACGCUGGCGGCGUGCCUAAUACAUGCAAGUCGAGCGAACGGACGAGAAGCUUGCUUCUCUGAUGUUAGCGGCGGACGGGUGAGUAACACGUGGAUAACCUACCUAUAAGACUGGGAUAACUUCGG
rnacentral:rRNA from 1 species